UACGAAGGGGGCUAGCGUUGCUCGGAAUCACUGGGCGUAAAGCGCACGUAGGCGGCUUCUUAAGUCAGGGGUGAAAUCCUGGAGCUCAACUCCAGAACUGCCUUUGAUACUGAGGAGCUUGAGUCCGGAAGAGGUGAGUGGAACUCCGAGUGUAGAGGUGAAAUUCGUAGAUAUUCGGAAGAACACCAGUGGCGAAGGCGGCUCACUGGUCCGGUACUGACGCUGAUGUGCGAAAGCGUGGGGAGCAAACAGG
rnacentral:rRNA from 1 species